GAUAAAUAUGAAACAAAGUUUUUUUCAACUGUUUGCAUUUUUACCUUGUUAGUGUUGAGUUUUUUUCUAUGUCAUAACCAUAAAGUUUCGAGAAUUGGAAAAGAUUUAUUAAUAAUAAAAUGAAUGGGCAUGUGCAGCUUCUGGUGGGCCUCUUGUGUAUAUAGUCAGAACCACAACGCCCACAGAGAGAGGGAUAACGAGGCAAAAGCAUCAUCGUUGUGAAGGUGAAGCAGCAAUGGACCUUAACAGAAGAGUCGGUUUGAGAGACAUAAUUGAUAUCUCUGAAGGUGAAGUAGGAGGCGACUGAGUUAUCCUGUAGGAAAUUACAACAGCGUUGAGUCAACGAGGACACGAAAAGUCAGAUGGACCACCACGAUUCCUCAUCUCGUGAACAACUUGUAUCUCAAUAUUCUUUUGAGGAGAUAAUCAAAUUGCCGUAAGCGAAACCACCUUGUUUGUGCUCAUAAAUCAGAAAUAGUCCCUCAACCUCGGUCCUCCCACAUAGAUAUAUAAGAUUUUCCUUGUCAAAUCAGAGACUGUAUUGAAACGAGAACUAUUGAAAUCAAAUUGAAUAUGCUUACGUCGUUCAGCAACUCUCGACGAUAUUCGGAUUCAUCGAUGUCAAUUUCAGAAGCAAGAUCAGUGUGAUCUGUAACGUAACCAUCACAUGGACCACUAUUUGCUUCACUUUGAGCGUAUUCUUCCUCAAUGGCACCGGCAAUUGUCGGUAUCGAAGUACCAGUUGCUAGCAGCAUCUCUGCGAAAAGCACGUCAUCACCAAGAAAUAAAAGAACGGUAAAAGAAGAUGGAAAAAUAUUGGAAUAUAUAUUCUGAUGAUUAUGCAAAUGCAGCUGUAAAUGUUAUAAAUUCUUUUCUCGUAAAGUGUAAAUAAUCAAAAGCUCAAGACGCAAUCAACUGCAGAACACUUUACGAUAUUAUAUACAAGUGUCUAACUCUUGAAGAAAAUGGUUGAGGAAAUUUGAUUAGACCAAAAGAAGAAAAAUUCGUCUGUUUGGAAAGAUUAUUUUAUCUUUGAGUGCCGAUCCAGAUGUUCUCUAUACUUUGUCGUUAGCAAACCUUUUGUCGAAGUUGUUUCUUUUGGAAUGUCUCCAGAUCUCGAUAACUUUUCGAGGUUUCAUCAAGAAGUGGAGCUUCAUCAUCUGAACUUUCAUUCUUAUUUUUUCUACUUCUUCGACUUAAUAAAGGACUGGAAAGAAGUCGUCUUCUAAUCGGAGAAGCAGAGGCUGGUCUCUUGCCUUUUUUCGAAGGAGCUGGACUACUUGGUGCAGCAAAGAUGUUCUAUAAGUCACUUGACCUAAGUUUGCUGGUAUUGAAUCCGCUAGACCGUGAAUUUUGAACUUUGUGCCCCAGAUGUUCGAUGUAACUUCGACCAACCUUGCAUCCUGGAAAUAAAUCAGCGUUCCAUGCCAUGGAUGUCACACCAGCUUCUAAUUGAAUUUCGGAAACCAUCGCACCAUGAACGUCCAUUACUAUCAAUUGGCCCGCUGUUGUUCCAAAAUAAACCUGGAAAUCUGUGAAAAGUAUCAUAGAGAUUCAAUAUACUGAUAAAAAAAAAUUUUACUUUUCAAAAAACAAAAUAAUGCCUCAUAUAUGAAAAAUUCUGAAGGUGGAAUAAAAAUUAAAGAAGUUACUUCUCGCACUUACAAGAUCAAAGUGACAGGAAAUGUGGACUUUUAGAAGCGAAAAGAAUUCUCAUUGUCAUUUGUUUUUGGUCGAACAAGAAGAACGGAAUGAUUCAGUGUCAUGAAAAAUAAUCACACAACAAAAAAGUAAAGGAAAUUUUAAAUAUAUAAUAGGACAACUUGAAAGAGAAAUUUUGGCUCACUUGACAUCUUUUUUUGUUCUCGCUUAAUAAGUGGAUCUUGUCUGACACGAUAACAUUCUACUCAUUAAAAAGGUUGAAUUUCUAUGAAAUUUUUAGUCAAAAAAAAAAAAAAAAAAAAAAAAUAAGAAUAAGAAUAUGUGAUGGAAAAAUGGUGUAUUAGAGAAAAAUUGAAGUUUGAAGGACUAAUUUGAAGAAAUGCGAAGAGACAAUGGUGAAUUUUGAAAAUAUCGAAUAAACUGGAAACAAUGGGAGCAAGAAGCACCAAAUCGAGCAUUCAGUAUCCACUUGAGACACUAGUCACGAUCGUCAUCUUGAGCCAGUGUAGUACAAAGCCCCUUUCUAAACUUUCUCUCCCUUCUCCUCUUGCCCUUAUUCUAUAUAUCCGUAUAUAUAGUACGUUUGUACUGUGUAGUACUCUCUCUCCUUUUCCUGGCACACUCGAGAACUAUAUAGCAGCCUCCUGAAAACCCCUGUGAGAUACCCUCCCAAAAGUUAUUAACUUGGCUAAAGCCUUCACAAUCCCUCUGUCCUUCCCAUGGAAAUGUAUACCUUAUCUUUCUACUCAUCAGCUUAACAGGCAAUUUAUCUCAUUGUAAAAUCUAUAUAUUUCCUCCGAAAACUAAAUACAAGAUGCUCUCUAAUUAAAUUAUUAUUAAACAAUAAUAUUUCAAUUUAUUGUAAUUAGGUGGCAAAAGUUAAUGUUAUAAACUUAAUUACAGUUCAUAAAGUUAACAUAUAUUUAAUUUAAAUUUAAUUUUCAAAUUUAAUAUUAGUUUAAUUUAUUCCAAUUCACUUAAUCAGAAAUUAUGACUGAAAUUAUAUUAAUUAAGUAAAUUAAAUUAGAACUAUAUAUAUUGACCUCUCUCUUGUUUUUGUCGGUCAUAAUGCAAUUUUCGAUUCAGGAAACAUAUUUUUUUGAAUAUCACAAAUUUUAAAUAAAAAUCUUUUCAAAUAUUUAAAUAGAAAUUUUAUAUCAAAUCUUGUCAAUAUAGGACAAAACAUUUAUGUGCAGUUUAUAUUUGAAUAACGAGAAGACGGUAUAUAAUGAGACAAAAACUCAAUGGGUUUUGUGUUCAAUGUUCCUAGCAUGCAACACUGCGAGCGAUACAACUUUACAUGAUAUGUAACUUUACUUGCAUGUCAAUGCAAUCUGUUCGUUAGAAAUAAAAUCUUUUCCUAAAUAUAUAUGUAUAUGUUCGAAACAUUUCGAUAACAAUAAGUGAUUUGAAUUUUCGAGUUAACAAUUCUUUCUAACAUUGAUAACAAAAUAAUUUUUGAAAUUUCGAUUUUAGAGGGAAACAAAA